UACGUAGGGUGCAAGCGUUGUCCGGAAUUAUUGGGCGUAAAAGAGUCUGUAGGCGGUUUGUCGCGUCUGCUGUGAAAUUUCGGGGCUCAACCCCGAACUUGCAGUGGGUACGGGCAGACUAGAGUGUGGUAGGGGAGACUGGAAUUCCUGGUGUAGCGGUGAAAUGCGCAGAUAUCAGGAGGAACACCGAUGGCGAAGGCAGGUCUCUGGGCCACUACCGACGCUGAGAAGCGAAAGCAUGGGGAGCGAACAGG
rnacentral:rRNA from 1 species